CAAUAGCGUAUAUUAAAGUUGUUGCGGUUAAAAAGCUCGUAGUUGGAUUUCUGCCGAGGACGACCGGUCCGCCUCUGGGUGAGUAUCUGGUUCGGCCUGGGCAUCUUCUUGGAGAACGUAUCUGCACUUGACUGUGUGGUGCGGUAUCCAGGACUUUUACUUUGAGGAAAUUAGAGUGUUUCAAGCAGGCACACGCCUUGAAUACAUUAGCAUGGAAUAACGAAUGGGUCUACAAUUUGGUUGAUUGUAGAUUGCGAUUAAUAGGGACAGUUGGGGGCAUUAGUAUUUAAUUGUCAGAGGUGAAAUUCUUGGAUUAGUUAAAGACUAACGUAUGCGAAAGCAUUUGCCAAGGAUGUUUUUCAUUAAUCAAGAACGAAAGAUUGGGGAUCAAAGACGAUCAGAU
rnacentral:rRNA from 1 species